UACGUAGGGUGCAAGCGUUGUCCGGAAUUAUUGGGCGUAAAGAGCUCGUAGGCGGUUUGUCGCGUCUGCUGUGAAAACUCGGGGCUUAACCCCGGGCCUGCAGUGGGUACGGGCAGACUAGAGUGCGGUAGGGGAGACUGGAAUUCCUGGUGUAGCGGUGAAAUGCGCAGAGAUCGGGAGGAACACCCGUAGCGAAGGCGGCACUCUGGGCCGGUACUGACGCUGAGGAGCGAGAGCGUGGGGAGCAAACAGG
rnacentral:rRNA from 1 species